UACGAAGGGGGCGAGCGUUGUUCGGAAUUACUGGGCGUAAAGGGUGUGUAGGCGGUCCUCCAAGUUUGGUGUGAAAUCUCCCGGCUCAACCGGGAGGGUGCGCCGAAAACUGGGGGGCUAGAGUGCGGGAGGGGAGAGUGGAAUUCCUGGUGUAGCGGUGAAAUGCGUAGAUAUCAGGAGGAACACCGGUGGCGAAGGCGGCCUGCUGGGCAGUAGCUGACGCUGAGGCGCGACAGCGUGGGGAGCAAACAGG
rnacentral:rRNA from 1 species